AUUGAACGCUGGCGGCAUGCCUUACACAUGCAAGUCGAACGGUAACGCGGGGCAACCUGGCGACGAGUGGCGAACGGGUGAGUAAUAUAUCGGAACGUGCCCAGUCGUGGGGGAUAACUGCUCGAAAGAGCAGCUAAUACCGCAUACGACCUGAGGGUGAAAGCGGGGGAUCUUCGGACCUCGCGCGAUUGGAGCGGCCGAUAUCAGAUUAGGUAGUUGGUGGGGUAAAGGCCUACCAAGCCGACGAUCUGUAGCUGGUCUGAGAGGACGACCAGCCACACUGGGACUGAGACACGGCCCAGACUCCUACGGGAGGCAGCAGUGGGGAAUUUUGGACAAUGGGGGCAACCCUGAUCCAGCCAUGCCGCGUGCGGG
rnacentral:rRNA from 1 species